AGAGUUUGAUCCUGGCUCAGAACGAACGCUGGCGGCAUGCUUUACACAUGCAAGUCGAACGGCAGCACGGGGGCAACCCUGGUGGCGAGUGGCGAACGGGUGAGUAAUAUAUCGGAACGUACCCGGCAAUGGGGGAUAACCAGUCGAAAGACUGGCUAAUACCGCAUAUGCCCUGAGGGGGAAAGUGGGGGAUCGCAAGACCUCACGUUGUCGGAGCGGCCGAUAUCGGAUUAGCUAGUUGGUGGGGUAAAGGCCUACCAAGGCGACGAUCCGUAGCUGGUCUGAGAGGACGACCAGCCACACUGGAACUGAGACACGGUCCAGACUCCUACGGGAGGCAGCAGUGGGGAAUUUUGGACAAUGGGGGCAACCCUGAUCCAGCCAUGCCGCGUGAGUGAAGAAGGCCUUCGGGUUGUAAAGCUCUUUCGGACAGAAAGAAACGGCUACGGCUAAUACCCGUGGCUAAUGACGGUACUGUCAGAAGAAGCACCGGCUAACUACGUGCCAGCAGCCGCGGUAAUACGUAGGGUGCGAGCGUUAAUCGGAAUUACUGGGCGUAAAGCGUGCGCAGGCGGUUUUGCAAGACCGAUGUGAAAUCCCCGGGCUUAACCUGGGAACUG
rnacentral:rRNA from 1 species